rnacentral:rRNA from 1 species
UGGGGAAUAUUGGACAAUGGGCGAAAGCCUGAUCCAGCCAUGCCGCGUGUGUGAAGAAGGCCUUUUGGUUGUAAAGCACUUUAAGCGAGGAGGAGGCUACUAGUACUAAUACUACUGGAUAGUGGACGUUACUCGCAGAAUAAGCACCGGCUAACUCUGUGCCAGCAGCCGCGGUAAUACAGAGGGUGCAAGCGUUAAUCGGAAUUACUGGGCGUAAAGCGCGCGUAGGUGGUUCGUUAAGUUGAAUGUGAAAGCCCCGGGCUCAACCUGGGAACUGCAUCAAAAACUGGCGAGCUAGAGUAGGGCAGAGGGUGGUGGAAUUUCCUGUGUCGCGGUGAAAUGCGUAGAUAUAGGAAGGAACACCAGUGGCGAAGGCGACCACCUGGGCUCAUACUGACACUGAGGUGCGAAAGCGUGGGGAGCAAACAGG